GCGGUGGUGGCGGAAUUGGUAGACGCGCUAGCUUCAGGUGCUAGUGCCCGUUAGGACGUGAGGGUUCAAGUCCCUCCCUCCGCACCA
rnacentral:tRNA from 1 species